CCCUGGGGGUGAUCAAGGGUGAUGGUUCAAAUGCAGAGAAUAAUUUCGCCACACCUAGUGUGUGUGUGUGUGACAAUCAUUGGCACUUUAACUGAACUUUUAAUGAUGUUAUUCAUAUUAUUCAGAUUGAAAAGCUUAAGGGGCCGCAUGUGGCCCCCGGACGUUCAUUUGCCCAGGUCUGUGCUAAGGUGAUCUCUAGAAGUGGUCCACACUCCAUGUCAGUAGGUGGCGGUAAUGCACACCAGAAGGUUGCUUGCCAACCUGCUAUAAAAACAAAAGAAGAAGAAGAAGAUCCACACUUCCGGGUGGUGAUGACGUCGCGUCGUGACGUCAUAUUUCAAAAUGGCAGAGCCCGCGGAAAGACCCCCUGGAGUCGACUCCAUUUCCCAAGAAAAGAUGUCAACAGCGCGACUUGUAACAAUUAUAAGGCCGAGGAGGGUUAUUUGAACACACACCAUUCAAUUAUUAUAAAUGAAAGUCACGUUUUUUAACCGCUCCGGUCUCGUCCCAGCGGAAGUGACGCUAGCACGUCAUCAGAAUACAACAGAUCAACACGACGAGAGAGACAUUCUGCCGCUAGACAAAGGUCACCGAGCAGCGACGAAGUUUGCAUUUUCGGUAGAGGUCCAGGGAGCCACGAGGGCGGUGCUAAAGAGACGCGGGUUGCUGACCCCCGGCCUACACCCUGGACUGGCCGCCAGUUCAUCACAGGACACAUGAACAAGCCUUCGCCCUCAAAUCAGAGAAGUAUUCAUUUACUCUAACAUGAUUUUUAUUCAGUUCAAUGCAUUUAUUGUCAUUGUCAUAGUGAAUAACACACACACUGCAUAGUAACCAUGUAUCAAAAAUGCGUUAGGUGGUGCAAUCCUGACCCAUGAAACGCGUAAACACAAAGGGUGCCACGAACGAUGCACAAAAUUCACAGUCUGGUAUGGAUCGGUACUUGAGCGGCGCCGUUCCAUACAUUUUUUCAAUACCCAAAAGAGGGAAAUGUUCAUGCCUUUUUUUUAACUUGUAGUUUAUUGAAAUUGUCGUUGUCCACGACAGAAAACGGUCGGCAAGGCGAGUUUAUUUACAGAGCACAGUUCGUACUACAGGCAGGCCAGUCUAGUACCCGCACUCUUUUACUACGAAGCCACGCUGUUGUAACACGUGCAGAAUGUGGCUCGGCGAUAUCUUACUGAAAUAAGCAGGGGCGGCCAUGAAAAAGACGUCGCUUGGAUGGCAACUUUUGUUGCUCCAAAACCUGUAUGUACCUUUCAGCAUUAAUGGUGCCUUCACAAACGUGUAAGUUACCCACUAAUACACCCCCAUAUCAUCAAUCUUUAUUGCAGACCUUAAGAUCCAUUUAAACAUAUAAAAACAGAAUAUAAUACAUUAAAAAACAAAACAAUAAAAACAUACAUUAAAAACAAAACAAAACAAGUUUUCCAUACAAUUACAGACGCUGGGUUUUCAACUUUGCGCCUAGAACAAUCCGGAUGGUUCUUUUCCUCUUUGGACCGGAGGACACGACGUCCACAGUUUCCAAAAACAAUUUGAAAUGUGGACUUGUCAGACCACAGAACACUUUUCCAGUUUGCAUCAGUACAUCUUAGAUGAGCUCGGGCCGAGCGAAGCCGGCGGCGU